GGAUGGUGUUGCGGUCAGGGUGUUCAGCUCCCGGCUGGAAGGUUGUGGGUUCAAACCCCAUUGUUUGCCGCCUCA